AACGAACGCUGGCGGCAUGCCUAACACAUGCAAGUCGAACGAGACCUUCGGGUCUAGUGGCGCACGGGUGCGUAACGCGUGGGAAUCUGCCCUUGGGUUCGGAAUAACAGUUGGAAACGACUGCUAAUACCGGAUGAUGACGUAAGUCCAAAGAUUUAUCGCCCAAGGAUGAGCCCGCGUAGGAUUAGCUAGUUGGUGAGGUAAAGGCUCACCAAGGCGACGAUCCUUAGCUGGUCUGAGAGGAUGAUCAGCCACACUGGGACUGAGACACGGCCCAGACUCCUACGGGAGGCAGCAGUGGGGAAUAUUGGACAAUGGGCGAAAGCCUGAUCCAGCAAUGCCGCGUGAGUGAUGAAGGCCUUAGGGUUGUAAAGCUCUUUUACCCGGGAUGAUAAUGACAGUACCGGGAGAAUAAGCACCGGCUAACUCCGUG
rnacentral:rRNA from 1 species